rnacentral:rRNA from 1 species
AAGGAUCAUUACUGAGUGAGGGCCCUCUGGGUCCAACCUCCCACCCGUGUUUAUUGUACCUUGUUGCUUCGGCGGGCCCGCCUUUACGGCCGCCGGGGGGCUCACGCUCCCGGGCCCGCGCCCGCCGAAGACACCCUCGAACUCUGUCUGAAGAUUGUAGUCUGAGUGGAAUUAUAAAUUAUUUAAAACUUUCAACAACGGAUCUCUUGGUUCCGGCAUCGAUGAAGAACGCAGCGAAAUGCGAUACGUAAUGUGAAUUGCAGAAUUCAGUGAAUCAUCGAGUCUUUGAACGCACAUUGCGCCCCCUGGUAUUCCGGGGGGCAUGCCUGUCCGAGCGUCAUUGCUGCCCUCAAGCACGGCUUGUGUGUUGGGCCCCGUCCCCCAAUCCCGGGGGACGGGCCCGAAAGGCAGCGGCGGCACCGCGUCCGGUCCUCGAGCGUAUGGGGCUUUGUCACCCGCUCUGUAGGCCCGGCCGGCGCUUGCCGAUCAACCAAACUUUUAUCCAGGUUGACCUCGGAUCAGGUAGGGAUACCCGCUGAACUUAAGCAUAUCAAUAAGCGGAGGAA